CGGUCUCGGUCGCUGUGUCACCUGGCACCAUGUGCUCCUCAACAGCGUUGAGAAUUGUCUUUAUUCGUGCAACUUCUCCGUGGGGAGGGACUUUUUUCUUUUGUUUUUAAGACCUUCUUUCCCAUCUUCGCCACUGCACAAUUUGGAUGUGGAGUUCCUGGAAAGUGAACACUGGCAAUGAGUGCAGCUUUCCCUGAAAGCUAAGACUGCUGCUUAUUCCCUGCUGAGUAGAGAGAGGACCGCGGAUGUCAGCUCCAUCUUUUUUUUCUUUUCCUUUUUUCUUUUAUUUUGACUUUGAGGUGCAUUUCCUCUCCCUGCUCUGGGAACUGGCAGAUACAAUUCCUGUAGGCAACUUUGCAUCAAGACGGAGACUGUGAAGUUGAUACCUCAAUGCUUUUCUUAGCUGUGCUCUUCUAUUAAUUGGUGUUAGAAAGUGCAACCUUGUAGCACAGUUAUUGAAUAAUCAUUAAUCUGUGGAGGAUACACAAGCCCAAAGGUUAAUAAUAAGAAUAACAAUUAAUAAUAGUGACUUUGCUAGCAGGGAGACUAUUUUCUCAGAGUUAUUAAAAGGCACUCCCAUUUAUACUACGUACAGAGAGGUGAAUUUGGCCCUGGUGUGCUGAAUACCACAUUACUGCAGCAAGCCCACAGAUGAAUCCUCCCCAUUAUCUUCACGCUAUCAGGCCUCUCACUUUUUCUCCCUUUAAAAUGUAUCAAGCGCUGCUCUCAUUUUAAAUAGAAAUGCUCAAGCUUUAAUCAAUUCUGACAUUUCCACUGGAAAAUAACAUCUAGCUCUCUUACAUAGAUAAAAAUUUAUUUGCCUGCAGCUGGUCUGCUGCAGUGCUUUGGACCUAUUUGCUUCUCAGAAAAGACUUGGUUUUUCACAGUCUCUAGGUACCAUGGGGCAGUAAAUAGAAAGUCAGUGCAAAGGGGAUGUUCACACUUUCACGGGCACAACUCUCCACUGCUUCCUCACUGAGCUCCUCUGUCUGCCUAACCAGCAUGCUCCUGUUGUCCAAGCCCUGUCUCCUUUAUUUGUAUCACACCUCUGCCUGGCUGGUCAGUGAAUCCUAAUAAUAAUCAUGUUUCAUGUCUCAGAAAUCUAAUAAUCAAGUUACUCAUUCAUAUAAAUUGCAACUAAGCUGUUUGGGUUCGUUGUGUUAUCCCCACUUUAAAGGCAGGGAAACUGAAACAGGAAAAUUAACACAUGUGCCCGAGGCCACACAUGGAUUUAAGAGUAGGUACAGGACUGGAACUGAAUUCUGUAUUUAGACCAUGCCUCCUCUUAAAGAUUCUGAAGCACACUGUGGAAAAUGUUUUUAAAGAAGGAAAUGUAAUAUAACCCUUAUUUUUUAUUGACUUUGUAUAUUAGUCAAAUUGCACUUUUUUUUUUUUAAUAUAUAUCACAUUUCCUUUUCUAAAUACAAGAUUUAUUCAACUUUUGACAAAGCACGGUGGUACCUUUCAGUUGUAGUCAGUUUACUGUGGAAACAAGAAACAUUUACUGUGAGACUGUGAGCAGUAAUGGGAACAGAAUUGCUUGUUAUUAGGUCAUUGUAAACAAUAUCCACUGGAUGUUACGGUGUACUUAUAGGCCAACACAAUAUAAUGAGAAGUUCAGCAUUAGUAUAGAUAAGGUGCUAUUGCUUACCUGGCAUGCAUCAGUUUCCACCGUAAUUCUCUUUCGGUGUUUUCAGCAGCAAAAUACUUAGCGUGGGUUUAAGCAUUGAAAAAUGUGUGGGACAACCAUAUACCAUGAGAGUUAUGAUUUAUAUCAUUAAGCAGUGAGUUUUACAGAGUUGUGUCACUCAUGUCAAUGAAGCAAGAAGUAUAUUGCCGGCCCUUUAGCUGUGGCAUGUCAUCAAAGCUAUAUUAUGGUAUGACUGAGCGCAGAUGGCAUGUCUAAAAAGCAGGUGUACAAUAUAACUUUCAUAUUACUGACAUGUAGAUAUUUCCUCUUCCUCAGUGUCCAUUCCCAGAUGUUUGCUUGCCCAACCUUCCACAGGAACUACAGAAAGUCCUGCUCAUCCUGCUCAUCUGUCAUGUCUGGAAUUGUACCGUCCAAACCCAUACAGAGUGAGGUGGCGAAACUGUUGAAUCUGCAGACUGAAACUGUCAGAAGCCUUUCCUGAGGUGCCCCUUACUGAAAUGUUACUGUGGCAUAAUGAUUUGGAAAUAAGCCUUUGUGUGAGAAGAGCUAUCAGAUCCUCUGGGAAACGUUUCAGAUACUUUCCAGUUCCUUUCAGACAUGUAAAUAUGUUUAGACAUGAGCAGAGAGUAGAGCUGGGGAGUGGAGUAGGGCAGGGAAUCGGGUGGGGUUAGAAGCUUCCUCAUAGAUCCUGGAACCAAAUAAAUACACUUUUUUUUUUUUUUUCUUAUCUGAUGUUAGCUGGUGCUUGAAAUGGUCAACAUUAAGAAGAAACGCUGCAUGAAUGUGUGUAUGUGUAAGAGCUAUGUUGACCCAUGAUUAAAAGAGAGGGCCAUGCUCAGAUACUUGCACCAAUCCCAAGAAAUACAAACCUUAUAAAGUAUGACUUCUUUCCAGCUCUAGCUAUACACAGCGUAGUGUACAGCUAUAGCACUGGAAACCAUUGCAUGCUACCUAGCACUUCUUAUGAUUCCUUGCUUUCUCCAUGAUUUGCUUUAAGCUAAGCACAUCAGAAACUGAAGUUAACGUUUGAGGUUUUUUUUUUCCCUCUUAACCUACAAGAACGGCAGCCUGACUCUGUAAUGUGCUCAUGUGUUAUUACCUGUGAAACAGAGCAAAAAGACUGCUCACUAGCAAGGUCUGCCCAUUGCUGUCCAGCUGCCUAAUGACAUGUUAAGACUUGGUUUGAGCAACUGUGCUCCAACCAGUAUUACAAUAAUCAGUUGCAGUUGAAGAUGUCAGUAAAAAAAAUACAACCAAGCUAGUGUCCUAUGCAUAUUUUAAAUGCAAAUGGCCAUUAUCAGCUGUAUCAUAACUUUAUCUGACGUCUGAUCUCACUGGUGGCUCUGUGGAAAAGGCUCAGAUGACUUUUUCUGAACACAUCUGCUUCUUUAGUGCGUUUCUGCAGUCUUUUGAUUAUCUGACUAUCUGUUGGCUAGACACCAACCUCCUGAACACAGGCCUGUGUCACCUCACUACCUGUGUCUCUCCUAAAAAUCUGUUCACUAGAAAGAAUAUCAUUCCAAUAAUAUAACAAAUUAAUGGUCCUUCUGCAGACUGGCUUGAGUUUCUUCCAGCCAUUCACUGGAGGUGCUUGUUUCCAGGCCCUGAUGCUGCACAGUACCUCAAUCCAUUCAGCUUCUCUUCAAGAUGGUGACUACUUUCCGCUCCACAUCUCUGCUGCAGAAGAUCUUGUGAUUACCUGAAAAAGUGAAUUGCAUCCUGUAGAUUUCCCCUUAAAACUUCUGCUUCACAGAAGAGAUCAGCUUGUGACAGAUACGUCAACGAUGUCAGACUCACUUCUCUGUUGCCUAAUUGCCCUCUCCACCCUCUGUCAAUCUGAAACUCUCAUUUUGGAAAGGAUUGAAGGAGUUGUAUUAAUAUUUGUGCUAGCCACUUUUUUCCUGCACAUUGUCUGCUCCUUCCCCUUGGUGUCUGGUUUGUCUUGGUUGCUUUAAAAAAUUCUGUUGCCUCUAGUGAGGGACUGCCAGAUUAAACCAGUAUAGAGAAGCCAGGUCUACUUUUACAAAUACAGGUUGUGUAUAAUAAAUUCAGGUUUUACAUCUAUGCAAAUUAAAUCAUCAUAUGAUUCUGACUACAUGCAUUUUUUUUAUCUAAUAUGGCAUAUAUUUCACAAAUUAUAUUUAACUUAUACGCAUGUUGCUAUUCUGAAUACCUGACUAGGAAUUAGAGAGAGUACCACUAGAUCUUAGUAAAUGGGCUUAUGGAACCAGGAGAAAUAAGAGAAAAUCAUCUCUUUUCCUUGUGUUCCUGACAAGUCUAGUGUAAGGGCUUUUCCUACUCUAGAUGGCAAGAUAAACACCUUACCACAGAGCUGUUCAGAAAUACAAGUACAUCUUGUAAUUGGAAAUUUAGAGAAUUUACAAAGAACAAAACAAAAUACCCUAAAAAAAGGAAGUUUUAAAGUAAUGUGUCUUUGGUCUAGUGUUUGUCAUAUCUACUUGGUAUGGCCUUCCUCUAAUGUUUCAGUCAUGCAGCGUAAGACAUUAGUCACAAUGUCAAAAUAAGCAUGUUACUUCUGCAAAAAUGUAUUUUCACCUCAGGAAUAUUGUGAAGUGAAAAUAGGAUUUAGCACAAUUCUUCCUUUUGAGUUAUUCUACAGACAGAACAGUUUUAAUGUAAAGCUCUAAAUCUUGCAAGGUGAUUCCUGACCAUAGGUAUGCCAUACCUUGAAGAAUAUGUCAACUGAGUGCUGACAAGGACGACGCUGUGAAGGUAACAACUCAGUGCUUUCAGUGUUAACUGUCCUCAAGAACUGCUGUUUUUUGUGUGUGUGUGUGUGUGUGUUUGUUUGUUUCUUUGUUUUCCCAAUAAAUAAAUAAGUAUUUUGGUGAGCUCAAA